UUAAUCAAUCAAGCAGGUAAGAAGUGCGAGUACGAGCUUGUCAUGGAACGGAUGCAGAAGAUCCAGGAAGCCGAAGCCCAACAAAAACAAGGCUCCCCAGCGGCGCAGCCUAUUCCUCAAACUGCCAAUGCUUCAUCUAAAGGUUUUAUUUGAUAAUUUGAGGUACAGAAUUCUGCAUCAGAGUGCUGUCCUGGGGCACUGGCUGUUUUUCAGAUUUAGGUUGGGUCCUGCAGCAGAGUUGGGGAGGAGGAUGGGCCAAAAGGCACUGGUGCCUGCCUCCCCAUGGUUAUUGUCACCCAAAAUAAGUUGGACACUCAAGGUCCUCUUUUUGGUUGAAAUGAAGGAUUCGGCACAUUGGGGGACCUAGUCAAGAGACAACCAAGAAGUUUGUUGAUUAUCGGUUAAAGGGCAACAUGUGGUGCUUAGAUUAGAUAUUUCACAGUUUUCACUAGUUAGAUGUUUUAUUCAAGAUGAUUUAGUUUAUAGGAGAUGAGUCCAUAGUUGGAGACGAUCAUGUGUAGGUCUAUUGGUCUUAGAAUUUACUUAUGCAUAGCUGCCCUGAAAAUCUGAAUCAAAGUAAUCCUUUUUUAAAA